AUUGAACGCUGGCGGCAUGCCUAACACAUGCAAGUCGAGCGAGCGGCGGACGGGAUAGUAAUGUAUGGGCCCCUGACCGAUGGAUGGGUAUAACUACUGGAAACGGUUGCCAAUACCGCACACUACCGGAGGAACCCAUAUGGGAUUAGCUAGUAGGUGGGGUAAAGGCUCACCAAGGCGACGAUCUCUAGCUGGUCUGAGAGGAUGAUCAGCCACACUGGGACUGAGACACGGCCCAGACUCCUACGGUAGGCAGCAGUGGGGAAUAUUGCACAAUGGGGGAAAGCCUGAUGCAGCCAUGCCGCGUGUAUGAAGAAGGCCUUAGGGUUGUAAAGUACUUUCAGCAGGGAGGCGUUACCCGCAGAAGAAGCACCGGCUAACUCCGUGCCAGCAGCCGCGGUAAUUC
rnacentral:rRNA from 1 species